rnacentral:rRNA from 1 species
UACGUAGGCAGCGAGCGUUGUUCGGAGUUACUGGGCGUAAAGGGUGUGUAAGCGGUUCUCUAAGUUUGGUGUGAAAUCUCCCGGCUCAACCGGGAGGGUGCGCCGAAAACUGGAGGGCUAGAGUGCGGGAAGGGAGAGUAGAAUUCCUGGUGUAGCGGUGAAAUGCGUAGAUAUCAGGAGGAAUACCGGUGGUGUAGACGGCUCUCUGGACCGCGACUGACGCUGAGACACGAAAGCGUGGGUAGCAAACAGG